rnacentral:rRNA from 1 species
AGCAGCCGCGGUAAUUCCAGCUCCAAUAGCGUAUAUUAAAGUUGUUGCAGUUAAAAGCUCGUAGUUGAAUUUCGGGGUUUAUCCGUUGGUCGGGCUUUUUGGUCUGUACUGGCGUGAUGGAUUCCUACCUUCUGAAUAACCGGCAUGCCAUUAAUUUGGUGCGCCGGGGAAGCAGGACUGUUACCUUGAAAAAAUUAGAGUGCUUAAAGCAGGCUUAUGCCUGAAUACAUUAGCAUGGAAUAAUGAAAUAGGACGGCAUGGUUCUAUUUUGUUGGUUUCUAGGAUCACCGUAAUGAUUAAUAGGGAUAGUUGGGGGCAUUAGUAUUCAAUUGUCAGAGGUGAAAUUCUUGGAUUUAUUGAAGACUAACUUCUGCGAAAGCAUUUGCCAAGGAUGUUUUCAUUAAUCAAGAACGAAAGUUAGGGGAUCGAAGACGAUCAGAUACCGUCGUAGUCCUAACCAUAAACUAUGCCGACUAGGGAUCGGACGAUGUUAAUUUUUUAAUGACUCGUUCGGCGCCUU